rnacentral:sRNA from 1 species
AGCUGCUCCAGUAGCCCAGUGGUUAGGUAUGUAACCUUUCCUUGUGAGAACGUUGGUUCGACUCCGCUUGCCGACAAUUUCAUAAGAAAAGUUGCAAAUCGAGCUGCUAAGUUACCCGGAGGGGGGCGGCGCAAUUUUUUUUUUUUUUUAUAUAAU